UACAGAGACUGCAAGCGUUAUUCGGAUUCACUGGGCGUAAAGGGCGCGCAGGCGGCCAAGUGUGUGAGGCGUGAAAGCCCGGGGCUUAACCCCGGAAUUGCACCUCAAACUACAUGGCUAGAGCAUUGGAGAGGGUAGCAGAAUUCAUGGUGUAGCAGUGAAAUGCGUAGAUAUCAUGAGGAAUACCAGAGGCGAAGGCGGCUACCUGGACAAUUGCUGGCGCUCAGGCACGAAAGCGUGGGGAGCAAAAGGG
rnacentral:rRNA from 1 species